rnacentral:misc_RNA from 1 species
CAGAGCGUGAGACUCUGCCCGGGCGCGUCCCGCGCGCAGAGUUGACCCUCCACCCGUGUUGACUUAUUUCAUGUUGCUUUGGCGGGCCCGGUGCUUUGCGCCGACCGGCUUCGUGCUGGCUCGUGUCCGCCAGAGACCCAACCUAACUCGUGUUGUCGUGUCGUCUGAAGUAGAAUGAUAUUGAAUUGUUA